CCCGUUGAACUCGAUUAUCCGAGCAGGGAUAUUCACUUGCGGUUGGCCGGCGACGGCAGACCGCAGGGCACUUAUCCACUGCUUCACCAGGACAUUGCGAUCCAUUACGAAACUGCCUUCGCUGGCAAGAAGCUCGGCAUCAGGGCCCGACCAGUUGCUUGUCCCACCGUAGCGGCGCUCAGUUCUGAAGGCCUGUACCGCGAACCGGGGCUUACUGGUGUGGUGUUUCCCGCCGAGCGCGUGAUGGAUUCCCACUGACACCGUCUCGGAUGCUCGCUCAUCCACCUACAGUCUAGGUGACGGAGAUCGAUCGGCUAUGAACAAUCGAGGUACCUUCGGG
rnacentral:rRNA from 1 species